rnacentral:rRNA from 1 species
UACGUAGGGACCGAGCGUUGUCCGGAAUCAUUGGGCGUAAAGAGCGUGUAGGCGGCCACUUAAGUCCUGCGUGAAAUCCUGCGGCUCAACCGCAGGCGGUCGUGGGAAACUGGGUGGCUAGAGUGCGGGGAGAGGAGAGUGGAAUUCCUGGUGUAGCGGUGGAAUGCGCAGAUAUCAGGAAGAACACCCGUGGCGAAGGCGGCUCUCUGGAACGCAACUGACGCUGAGACGCGAAAGCGUGGGGAGCAAACAGG